UACAGAGGGGGCAAGCGUUGUUCGGAAUUACUGGGCGUAAAGGGCUCGUAGGCGGCCAACUAAGUCCGACGUGAAAUCCCCAGGCUUAACCUGGGAACUGCGUCGGAUACUGGAUGGCUUGAAUUCGGGAGAGGGAUGCAGAAUUCCAGGUGUAGCGGUGAAAUGCGUAGAUAUCCGGAGGAAUACCGGUGGCGAAGGCGGCAUCCUGGACCGACAUUGACGCUGAGGAGCGAAAGCUAGGGGAGCAAACAGG
rnacentral:rRNA from 1 species